ACUGAGAGGGAGCAAACUGUGUCUGUGAGCGCACAAGGAUGUGCACAAGUGACAAACCUGCGUGCGCUCGUUGGCCAACGAGCACACGGCAGAGGAAAACAUGCGCGCGGCAGCCUCACUGCGCGCUCGGUGCGGCAGCCUCACUGCACGUGUGGCAGCCUUUCUGCGCGCUCGGUUUCCGAUUCUGCUCGCUCGGCUGUUGGGAGUUUUGGCACUCUGGAGGCGUGGAAGAAUUAAAGUGCCAGAAACUGAGCAGUUGAACUUUCAAUUUGAGAGCAGAAUUUCAUAUCAAGAGACCAUCUUUUUAAUUUCAGAAUACUAUUUUAUAUUAUUGCUCUCAAAACUUGUAAUGCUUGCGCUCAAAAUGUCUGCUCUCUUUCAAAUUCACUCUGUUCUCCUUCAAAUCUUUGUUUUUGCGCUCAGAUUUAACCUUCUUACACUGGUAUUGUCUUCUCAUGUGACAACUUUUUCUCUACACGGAUCAAAACUCCUCCCACAAGUCUGUCCCCUGCUCUCACGGAUCUUGUCUGCUCUCGCUCAAAACUUAGAAGUACAAUCUCCUAGCAACCGCUCAGCCAAUAGAAAGACUUGUGGGACUGGGCGGGAACAAACCUCUUUGGGGUGCGCUCGUUUUGCGCUCUGUGGAUUUUCCUGUGUGGCUGCCGCAUCUGCGCACUAACAGCCUGGCUAAUACCCGCUCUGAUCUGGAGCGAGAGUUUCACCUGCACCAGCAAAAUGGACCAGAACCAACAAGACGCUCAAGUAAGUUAUUUUUCAAGGCUACUAGCUGCAGUUUAUUCCAUAAAAUUGUUUUGUUAUGCUACUUUUUACGACUCCUCACAUUUAAUAUUGCAACAGGGGCACAUAGCUAGGUGGAUUAGGGUCCUACAUGGAAUAAAAUGUCCGGUGUUUUAUCCAGGAACUGGGGAUCGAGUUAUGAGGGGCUAGAUAUGUGUCAGGGAAAGAUCCAAAAAUGUUUUCUAGUGCCGUAUUCCCCAGAGUUGGAUAAGUGAAUGAAAAAGGAUUGUUUUAACCAGCGCAGUAAUUCUUAUCUGCCAGCAGUCUGUCUGCUUUAGAUGAGAAUAAACCAUGUAACUUAAUGGGAGGUAGUAGCAUUUUGUGUGCAAAACUGUAAAAUUACUAAAUUAUGAUACCAGUUAUUCCUGUUGAGCUCAAUAAUCAUGUUGACUGCAAAUGAAAAGUAAGAAGUAACACAUUUGCAGGAGCCAAUUUAGACAGUAGACAAAUUUUCACUUAGGGUGGAAUAUCCCUUUAAAUCAAACUUCAAACAUGCACGUUAGCAAUAUACAGAAUAUUUUAAUUACAUUUCAUGUUAAUCAUUAUUGUUUACUUAACAAUGAUUGUUGGUCACUGAUUUAAAAAAAUGUCUUUAAUAGGUUUCCUGUCCAUUGUGUGAUAAGAAUUUACUCAGGAGUCUAUACAACUGCAUGCCAGCUUUUGUGGUGAAGGAGGAAGAGGACAGGUGCAUGUUUUUACCCAUGCACGUUGUACACAAUAUGUUAUGAGAGUUUAAUCUUUUUUUUUUGUUUGUUUCCACAUCUGAACAGCAUCAUACUGGAUGUGGAUGACUCUUCCAAGCACUUAAGCUGCUUAUCAGACAUCCUGAAGUUCCUACAAGAAAGAGUUGACAACACUAAAACCUUUAACAUAAUGUGACAAGGGACGACCUUUACCAGAAAGGUCUGAAACAGCGGGCCAGACAGAAGCAGGCUUCCCCCAAAAACCAGCUAAUUGUUUCCUUUAUUGGAGAACACGACAUUGAUGAAGGAGCACUACGCCGAGAGUUCCUAACUGAAAUGAUGCGAGGCCUUGAGUUGAACUUAUUUGAAGGAGUUUCAUGCAAAGGCAAAACCCCAAAUAUAGUAUCUCUUACUACCAGGAAAACAGAUACAGGUAUGUACAGUAUGAUGCUGCUCUGCAGUGUAACUUGGCUUGUUUUGUGUUCAGGAUCUGUGGGGAGAUCAUUGCCACCAGCUUGGUUCAAGCAGGACCAGCACCGAAUUUCUUUUCUACUUGGUCUUACCAUUUCUUGCGUCAUGGACAAAUAACAAAUGAAGAUGUGCCAGAGGUGACUGAUACGGCAAUCCAGAACCUGAUUCAGGAGGUAAAUUAAACAGAAUAAUUUAUUUUCUGUAAAUUGUACUAACAAGUGUUUCUGAUUGAAGGUCGAACGUGCCGAAGAAGACGCACUGACAGACCUUUCUGAUGCCAUUGUAGCAUGUGGCUACACUGGUCAAUUCACAGCAAUUGCAAAAGGGCCAUCAUUGAGGCCAUCAGUUUGCAUUCGGUGAUGAGACUCAUACCGAUGCUAAGUCAGCUUAGAGAAGGACUGGCCAUCUAGGGUUUGGAUGAGCUGUUGCCACAACACCACCAGGCACUUCAGCCCCUCUUUCUUCCUGGGAACCUUAAACAGGUGGAUGCAGACUUCGUUGUGGAGGCACUGGCUCCUCAGUACAGUGACAAUGGAUCAGUAAGACACAAAGGAAGUGGACAUGAUCAACUUUUUGCAGGACCUCUUGCAAAACCUGGAAGAAGGAGGAACAGAUGACCAAGAUGGGAGCCCAUCAGAUGGCUGUGGAGCAAAGCAGUUGUCAGUGCAAGGAUUUUUUUCAGUGGGUUUCAGGCCAGGCACAUUUGCCACUAACAGACACAGAAAGAGAAUUUUACAAGAUAACUAAAUGUUGAUCACGACAGUACCACCCGGUAUGGACCACACUUAAUCACCUUACCUACAUGGCACGUUACUACAUACACUGACUUUGAAAGUCAGCUUACUCAGGCAGUCUGUGAUAGAU